rnacentral:rRNA from 1 species
GGGAAACCCACCUUAAAUGCUUAGAAAAUCCAAACUGUUCGCAAGGACGGCUUGGGUUUCUAAGCAUUGUGAUAAGGUAUCUUACCUUCGAAUACAUAGGGGUAAGAAGCGAACGCAGGGAACUGAAACUUCUAA